AGUCAUCAACCCUUCCCGUUAGUGUAGCGGGUCGGGCUGGACGUUGGGGGCCGUGCCGCCGCAGAGGCGGCUCCCCUUAAAUGCAUCGGUUGGGCCUGUGGGUCAAAGUCGACUGGGCGUUGUACCAUCCUCGCUCGACGGACGAGACUCCCUUUUUGGUGCCCUUCUGCCGACCCACCUGUGGAGUGGUGGGUCAAAGCAAACUUUGAA
rnacentral:misc_RNA from 1 species